CAUCCUUGUGAACACUUGACCUAGCCAGUGUUUUUAAUUUUAACCAUUCUAACAGGCGUGUAGUGUGUCUCAUUACUUUUACUUACAUUUCACUAAUGGCUAAUGAUGGUGAGCAUCUUUUCUUGUGUUUGCCUUUCCAUAAUGCCUCUGUCUCAGUUACUCUGCUCUGUUGCUUUAGAGUGAAAGCAGCCAUAGGUAGUAAGUAGCUGAAUGGGUGGAGCUGUGUUCUGGUGAAACUUUAUCUACCUAAACAAACAGCAGCAAGGAAAAUUCAGGGAGCAGAAUGUCUAAGGCCUUUGGAUGGAGUUUGCUGACUCCUGACACCGGUGAUCCUGUCUGCAAAUGAAGACAGAUUUACUUCUUUUCCAACCUGGAUACAUUUUAAAAUUCGUUUUCUGCCUCAUUGACUGGUUAAACCCUCCAGUACAAUGAUUGGAAAUGGUGAGAGUAUACAUCCUUGACGUGUUCCAUUCCUGUUCCUAGAGGAAAAGCAUUCAGUCUUUUCUUUUUUUUUUUUUUUUGCAUUCAGUCUUUUAUCAUGAAUUAUAAUCAAUCUUAGCUGUACAUUUGUUCCAGAUAGAGUUUACCAAGAUUAAGAAAUUCCUUCUAUUCCUGGGAUUCCCAGGCUAGGGGUCUAAUUGGAGCUAUGGCUGCCGGCCUAUACCACAGCCAUAGCAAAGCAGGAUCCAAGCUGUGUCUGCGACCUACAGCACAGCGCACAGCAAUGCUGAAUCACAGACCCAUGUUUCGAGGCCAGGGAUCAAACCCGCAACCUCAUGGUUACUAGUCCGAUUAGUUUCUCCUGUGCCACAACGGGAACUCUGAUUCUUUUUUUCUAUCUCGGAAAGUUAUUUUCUUUUUUUUCUCUUUUAAAAAAUUUUCUUGUAGUUGAUUUACAAUGUUGUAUUAAUUUCUACUGUAAAGGGAUUCAGUUAUAGAUAUUAUAUUUUCUUUCGUUUUCAUAUUCUUUUCCAUUAUGAUUUAUCACAUGAUAUUAAAUAUAGUUUUCUGUGCUGUGCAUAGGGCCUUAUUUUUAUCCAUUCUAUAUAUAAUGGUUUGCAUCUGCUAAUCCCAAACUGUCAGCCCAUCCUGCCACCAUCCCAUCCCCAUCAGUCACAAGUCUGUUCUCUGUAUUUGUGAGUCUGUUAUUUUGUAUAUAGAUUCACUUGUGUCAUGUUUUAGAUUCCACAUAUGAGUGAUAUAUGGUAUUUGUCUUUCUCUUUCUGACUUACUUUGCUUAGUAUGAUAAUCUAUGGGUUCAUCCAUGCUGCUGCAAAUGGCUUUAUUUCAUCCUUUUUAGUUAUAUGUAUGUAUAUACCACAUCUUCUUUAUCCAUUCUUCUGUCGAUGGACAUUUAGGUUGUUUCCAUGUCUUGGCUAUUGUGAAUAGUGCUGCUAUGAACAUGGGGUGCAGGUAUCUUUUAAAAUUAAAGUUUUGUCUGGGUAUAUGCCCAGGAGUGGAAUUGCUGGAUUGUAUGACAACUCUAUUUUCAGUUUUUUGAGAAACUUCUAUACUGUUUUCUAUAGUGGCCAUACCAAUUUACAUUUUCACCAGCAAUGUAAGAGGGUUCCCUUUUCUCCAUACCCUCUCCAGCAUUUAUUGUUGGUAGACUUUUUAAUGAUGGCCAUUUUGACUGGCGUGAGUUGGUACCUCAUUGUAGUUUUAAUUUUCUUUUUUUUUUGCUUUUUUUUUGUCUUUUUCUAGGGCCGCACCCAAGACAUAUGGAGUUUCCCAGGCUAGGGGUCCAACUGGAGCUGUAGCCGCCGGCCUAUACCAGAGCCACAGUAACUCGGGAUCCGAGGCGAAUCUGUGACCUACAUACACCACAGCUCACGGCAACGCCGGAUCCUUAACCCACUAAGCAAGGUCAGGGAUCGAGCCCGCAACCUUAUGGUUCCUAGUCAGAUUAGUUAACCUCUGAACCAAGAUGGGAACUCCCUUAAUUUUCAUUUCUCUAGUAAUUGGUAAUGAUGAGCAUCUUUAAUUUUUUUUUCUUUUUUUUUAGGGUCGCAUCUGUGGCAUAUGGAAGUUCCCAGGCUAGGGGUUGAAUCAGAGCCGUAGUUGCUGACCUACACCACAGCCACAGCAAUGCCAGAUACGAGCUGUGUCUGCAGCCUAUACCACAGCUCAUGGCAAUGCUGGAUCCUUGACCCACUGAUCGAGACCAGGGAUUGAACCCGCAUUCUCAUGAAUACUAAUCCGGUUCUUAACCAGCUGAGCCACAAUGGGAAUGCCAGCGAACAUCUUUUCAUAUGCCUAUUGGCCAUCUUGUAUGUCGUCUUUGGAGAAAUGUCUGUUUAGUUCUUCUGCCUGUUUUUUGAUUGGGUUAUUUGUUUUUCUGUUAUUGAAUUGUAUGAGCUGUUUGUAUAUUUUGGAAAUUAAGCCCUUGUCAGUCACAUCCUUUGCAAAUAUUUUCUCCAUUUCUGUUGUCUUUUCAUUUUGUCUGUGGUUUCCUUUGCUGUGCAAAAGCGUAUAAGCUUGAUUAGGUCCCAUUUGCUUAUUUUUGCCUUUAUUUUUAUUACUUUGGGAGACUGACCUAAGAAAACAUUUGUUGUCUUCUAGAAAUUUUAUGGUAUCUUGUCUUAUAUUUAAGUUUCUAAGCCAUUUUAUAUGUGUGAAUGUUAUGAGGAUAUGCUCUAACUUCAUUGAUUUAAAUGCAGCUGCAAAAUUUCCAACACCACUUGCUGAAGAGACAGUCUUUUCCCACUGUAUAUUCCUGCCUCAUUUGUUGCAGAUUAAUUAUCCAUAGGUGUGUGGGUAGAAGUUCUGUUCUUUUCCAAAAAUUUUUAUCAGGAAUGGGUGUUACAUUUUGUCAAAUUAUUUUUGGAUUUAUUGAGAAUGUUCAUAUAGUUUUUCCUUUUUUAGUUUGGUAGUAUGAAUUAUAUUAAUUGGUUUUCCUAUAUUUAGCCAAACUUCUAUGUUCAUGAAAUAUAUUGGUCUGUAUUUUCUUUUCUUGUAAUGGCUUUGUCUGGUUUUAAUAUUGCAGUAAUGCUGGCCUCAUAGAAUAAAUAAGCUGGGAAAUAUUUUCUUCUGUUUACAUUUCUGUAGGAGUUUAUUCAGAAUUAGUAUUAUUUUUCCUUAAAGUGUUUAAUAGAAUUCAUGAGAGAAGCUAUAUGGGCCUAGAGUUUUUGUUUGUUUUUACUUUUUUGUGGGGAGGUUUUUAACCUAUAAAUUCUUUUAUAUUACAAAUAGAUAUAAAGGUAUUAAUUUCUUUAAGACAGAGUAAAGAAAAGUAAAAGUAUGCAAAGUAAAACCGAGUGAAAAUUACUUAUUUCUUCUUGAGUGAGCUUUGGUGAUUUGUUUCGUUCAAGGAAUUUAUUUUCUCUGAGUCUUCAGAUUUAUAAACAUAAACUUGUUCAUAAUAGUCUUUUAAUAUCUGUGCAGUUGUAGUGAUGUCACUACUCUCAUUUCUGGUGUUACUUUGCGUCUUCUCUGUUUUUCCUGAUCAGUCUAGUUAUAAGUUUAUUAAUUUUGUUGAUCUUUCCAAAGAACC
rnacentral:lncRNA from 1 species